ACGCAUUAUACAUUUCUGUAUUGAUAGAUGCAUAUUGUGGUUAAUAUUGCAAUGUGUCAAACUCUCUUUAUUUAUAUAUGUUUAUGUAUGCAGUGUUAGCGGGCGUGUUUGUUGCGCAUGUGUACAUUUGUAUAAAUAUGGAUAAUAAGACAAUAAUUAGAAAGAUGGGGAAUGUCAACAAUAUUGUAGCAUGUCGUGUUUGUUACGGAUGUACGUCUACUAAAACCAUUCUGUCCUCACAACAAUGCUUUCGUACAUAUAGUGAUUCUUGUGAGCAAGCGCCACAACCCACAGUUCUUGUUACAGCGCAAAGACUGACAGAGUUAUUUCCCUUUAGGGAGUCGAAGUGAGAACAUUUUCUGUGGGAGAAAAGCCUACUUAUUAUAGCUGCAAACAUAUAGUUUCUGUAAUGUUGUUUGCAAUAUGUCUUGGAGAAUCUAAAAGAAUCAGAACUGGUAAUGAAGCUUGGAAAAAUAAUGAAAAUGCUCAAAAUUAUUAGAUUAAGAAAAGCCCAUUACUAUAAAGAAAUUGUAUCCAUGAAUAAAAGGGAAACUCAUUGCAUCAGCAUUUGGGAGAAUAUGUAUUUAAACUAUAGGUUUUAUAGAUAGCAAACCAAAACAGAGAAUAACUGACGAAGACAAGAAAGAAAGAGGGGACGCCAUCUUUUUCUUUUCCAAAAUUUUGUAAUAUUAUUUUCCAAUUAUUGGCUUGAAAAAAAUGAAGGUACAUACACUUCGUACCUGGCUAAUUUAUUUUCCUAUACUCAAGAAAACAGCUAAUGACAAUAAUGGGAAAUACAGAUCAGACUGCGGUUAUUUUGAAAGAGACUAUACAAGGAAACUGAAAGUUCAGAGGUCGCUUAUACGGGUGUCGGAAUCCUGUGAUCAUCUUCCUGUUAAAAUUUUGUGGACACUGGUGUAUAGAGGCUGGCUCCCAUCAUGUACUUCAUCAUGAACAUGUCUACCAAAGUUGGUUCCCUGUGUUUGAUACUUCUCACACUGACAAAAGGAGUUUUUCUCUUGACAUGUGGGUUUUCUAGCUUUACUGAAAGCCUGAUUAAAGAAGUAAAUAGUUCUAUCAAUAUCAACUACACCAUUAAUGUUACGACAAGUCCUGAUGUUACAGACACCUUUAACGCUGAUUAUGAUGUUUGUGAAGGAAACGCUUUGAGAACUACAUGUAGAUUUGUUUAUGACAAAGACUUUAACACCGAGUUUAAGACGGACUUGAGUGGGAUGACAGGAGUCACCUGCUACUGGGAACAACGACACGUGAGCAGCUCUAUGGUGGCUUUAGACAUCUACAUCUCUCAGGUCGUCACCAGGUCACUGAGUGCGAUGAUCCUCUUGACUGGCAGAGGUGGGCUACCCAAACCUACCCGACUGAUACGUGUUGAGGUGUUGUACCCACCAAAGGUCACAAGUCUUACCGUAGGUGGAGAAGACUUUACAAGUCCUUACUUCAUUAACGAGGGCCAAAAAGUCAACAUUUACUGCUUCUUCGAUAAAGGAAACCCUCCCGCUACUUUCAAGCUUCUUGAUAAACAUGGACACGAGUUAAAAUCUGUUGAUAGUGAUGAAACAUACCUCAAUCAUUCCCUCACUGCCCAGUGUGAAGACUACUGGCCGAUAGUCAGGUGUGAAGGAAGCGGCUCGAAGCAGAACAGAUCCGUCCCGUUCUUCGUCAGGUGUCCUCCUCAGUUUGUCGAAAACUCCAUAAAAAUUGUUAAUCUACAAACAUUUCAAGUCCUAACAUUUCGUGUCAAAGCUCACACAACAACACUCACUGCCUGCCUCUUAACACCAGAGGCUUUAGACAACAAUGUCACGAGGGGAGUAAGCUGCAUCCUAAGUGGCCACCCACCUGAUCUCCUUCUGACCGUCCAUCUUCACAAGGAAAGCAACAUUAGUCAAGGAAAUUGGUCGCUGAUUCUUCGAAAUGAUGUAGGUUCUGCUACAACGACACUGAUAAUCACUUAUUAUCCAGGUAAGCACACUUGCUAUUUACAAUUCAGUUUAGAUCAAUGCUUACUUUUAGUAAAAAAAACUAAUACGAAUGUUUACUACACCAUGUGCGUAAAAGAAUACAACUUUAUUUAUUCACAUAAGCAACUCAAAAUAAUGCUCGUACUAGAAGAUCAAAAAUAGUAAGUGUGAGAGCUCACAUGCCAGCACAUAAUCAGAAAUACAGAGGAUGCGGGAGGCAUUCCUGAAAAUUUGCUGAUGACCAAAGGAGGGGAAAUCCCUCUGCCUGGUUCUAGUGAUCUUGAAAGAUAUUAAGAAGGGAGACAAGACUGUUCCUGUUCCCGAGGGAGAGGCCGUGGAACCAAGAGAUGAAAGAGAAAGGAAUGAGACUUUCAAUGAAGUGCUGACAGAACCGAGUGAGGAUGACAGAGCUGACAGAGCUGAUAAAGAUCUGAGUUUCCAUACGAAGUACAGACGUUGUUGGUUCUUACUGAGGAUCAUCUCAGUGUUGAAGUCCCAUUGAAGAUUGUUAUCAAAGAUAGUACCUAGAUAUUCGUAAGAGUCGACUACCUCAAUAGCAUCAUCAUGGAUAGUACUGUCAAAGAGGAUUUCGCUAUUUUCCUCAGUCUUUAAGAUAUUCAAGACAAGGACGCGUUUAGCACACAUUGUACAAAGUCCACAAGAGCUCCACUGUGAACAUGUUCACAAAGAUUUAAAAGGGACAGCAAGCCAUAGUCAUCAGCAAAUUUUAACAGAAGGCUCCUAUCCGUAGUGUUUCUACCAAAGCUAGUAUAUAAUAUGAACAUUAGUGGAGACAAGCAGCAGCCUUUGCUCUCUGUGCAACAGAAAACGAAAUCACUAAGUUGUAUAACAAAAUAUAAGAAAAUAUUGCACACUGCCACCCUACACGCAUGUACUUCCUGUCAGUCUCGCAUAGCAACGUUUGUGUCUGUCAAAGGACACGAGAACUACUCGAGACUGGAUGUAGUUAAUAAUUUCAAUUUAGAGUUAAUACUAUUUACAGUUCCGACUGUCAUUAUUUAAUUAAGAUGGCACAUACCGAUAUUCUUUCAUACCUUAACCUUCUUAACUUUACAUCUACUACGCUCUUAACGAAAAGAUACACAACACCGACGACGAUGACGAUGAUGAUGAUGAAAAAAAAAACCAAAAAACAAUGAUGACGAACAUUUUGACGACUGCAGAGCCAAGAUAAUUUUUAUGACCGCCAUGAUGUUUAUGCAUUUACUGACAUUCAAAAAUGCUUUUCGCGACUGUUUUUAACGCAGGUAAUUGUGGUAUGUUUCCCUAAGAUGUCUGGUGAUGCAUACAUGGCUACCAAUAAACAUGAUACUUAUUUUAUAUGUGUAUUUAUUGGGAACUGUAAAUAUUAUGGGAUUAGAUGCCUGUACGUCGUGAAUACGUCGUCACAUCCUUGUUCGCCGUCGUAUCCACUUGUCUGACUCGUUACGUGUUUGCGGACUGCAGUCGGUUUUUCUCGUCAACGUCCGUGUCACGUAAGUGACGGUUGACUCCUUGGAUACCGGUAAAUAUCCGUAUUGCGUGUAAAUAGGAAAGUUUCUUCAAUUAUCUUCACAGCGGGAAACGGAUCGUUGAAAACAGAUAAACAAAAACAGAACAAUCAUAAAAAGUAAGGACACAGAUGUUUUUCACAGGAUAUGAGAGCAGUUGACGAACAACAUUAUACAUAGGUAUAAAAAUGUAAAAAAAUGUUAAUAACAUGUUGAUACAUCCACACACCAUUAUAGAGGGUGGGCCACUUAAAAGUAUCCCGUCUAGACCGACAUGUUCUAGGAGGUGGGCUACCCCACCCGAUAUUAUCAGACGGGGAGAUAUGGGAGGGAAAUCCAGCUUUUAUAAACUAUGAAGCUCCACAGUCCCUUUACCCUGACCAUUAUGUUAAAAACAACAGAACUGAACUAGAAAAUAAAAUGUAGAAUAAGAAGAGAAGUGCGCCAAGUGCACGCAAGCUAGUAAUGUGUUUGAAUGCUCAAUCACAAUGUCUGUCUUUCUCAAAGACUAGAUAUCUAAGCUGUCAGACCCGGUAAGACGAGAUGUGCUCGGGACUUCAGCUGUUUCCUGUGAUGCUGACAAAUUUGUAUCCUCUCCUUAUCACCCCCCUGCUCUGUAUAAACCUCUCAUUUCAUCUCCAUGUAAAGAAGCGCUUGUUUUCUUGAAGCCUGACUGUGAGUGAUGUAAGCUAGGGAGGUUGAAUGGUAAGAAAAGAGUCAAUCUGUAGUGUUUUAGUUGAUUCUGAGAUGAAAAUAUAGCAAAUGCACUCUGUAACUACAGGAGUAAGAUGGGGAAAUAAACGACAUAAAGUGAUGGAGCACAGGAAGGGAAAAGGAAGGACAGACAGACAGACAGACAGACAGACAGACAGACAGACAGACAGACAGACAGACAGACAGACAGACAGACAGACAGACAGACAGACAGACAGACAGACAGACAGACAGACAGACAGACAGACAGACAGACAGACAGACAGACAGACAGACAGACAGACAGACAGACAGACAGAAAAGCAACAAAUCGACAAAUUCAGUAAUUCCAUAUAUUAAGCUUCACUGCAAUAUACAAUGUAAAAAAAAAAGACAAACCCACCCUGCUUAAAUGAUGGAAGAUGCAACUAAAAUACUUUUUGAACCUUUUGGCUAAUGUUGAUGCUUAGAAAUUAAAAAACACAACAAACGUGAACCACCUGACUCGUGCCGUGCCUCAUUUAGACAACACAAGCCGUUUCCUCCGCCACCAGGAUUAUUGCCGGGUAUACACUUUAACGACAAGAACGCUGAGCGUUUCAGAUAAGGUCUUAAAGGUAAGCAUACUUUUACAUUACACAUAAUACUUUAAAAAAACCAAGGUUGCCACUGUUCUCAAAAAUAUUUGAAAGAUUAAAUCAAGCACGUACAAAUAUUGACUUACAGGUUUGAAAUCACAAAACUUUCUUUUCUUAUUUCAUCAGUUCCUGCACGCAUUAUACAUUUCUGUAUUGAUAGAUGCAUAUUGUGGUUAAUAUUGCAAUGUGUCAAACUCUCUUUAUUUAUAUAUGUUUAUGUAUGCAGUGUUAGCGGGCGUGUUUGUUGCGCAUGUACAUUCGUAUAAAUAUGAAUAAGAACACAAUAAUUAGAAAGAUGGGGAAUGUCAACAAAGUUGUAGCAUGUCGCGUUUGUUCCGGAUGUGCGUCUACUAAAACCAUUCUGUCCUCACAACAAUGCUUUCGUACAUGUAGUUAUUCUUGUGAGCAAGCGUCACAACCCACAGUUCUUGUUACAGCGCAAAGACUGACAGAGUUAUUUCCCUCAAGUGAGUCGAAGUGAGAACAUUUUCUGUGGGAGAAAAGCCUACUUAUUAUAGCUGCAAACAUAUAGUUUCUGUAAUGUUGUGUGCAAUAAGUCUUGAAGAAUCUAAAAGAAUCAGAACUGGUAAUGAAGCUUGGAAAAAUAAUGAAAAUGCUCAAAAUUAUUGCAUUAAGAAAAGCCCAUUACUAUAAAGAAAUUGUAUCCAUGAAUAAAAGGGAAACUGAUUGCAUCAGCAUUUGGGAGAAUAUGUAUUUAAGCUAUAGGUUUCAUGGAUAGUAAACCAUCAGAGAAUACCUAACAAAGAAAAGAAAGAAAGAGGAGAUGCCAUCUCUUUCUUUUCCAAUAUUUUGUAAUAAUAUUUUCCAAUUAGUGUCUUGAAAAAAAUGUAUAUACACUUCGUACCUGGCUAAUUUAUUUUCCUAUACUCAAGAAAAAGAGCCAAUGACCACAAUGGGAAAUACAGACAGACUGCGGUUAUUUUGAAAGAGACUAUACAAGGAAACUGAAAGUUCAGAGGUCGCUUAUACGGGUGUCGGAAUCCUGUGAUUAUAUUCCUGUUAAAAUUUUGUGGACACUGGUGUACAGCGGCUGGCUCCCAUCAUGUACUUCAUCAGGAACACGUCUACCAAAGUUGGUUCCCUGUGUUUGAUACUUCUCACACUGACGAAAGGAGUUUUUCUCUUGACAUGUGAGUUUUCUAACUUUAGUGAAAGCCUGAGUAAAGAAGAAAAUGGUUUUAUCAAUAUCAACUACACCAUUAAUGUUACGACAAGUCCUGAUAUUACAGACACGUUUUACGCUGACUAUCAGGUUUGUGAAGGAAACUCUGUGAAAGCUCCAUGUAUAUUUGCUUACAAACGAGACUUUAUCAGCGAGAACUUGAGUGAAGAGACAGGAGUCACCUGCUUCUGUGAACAACGACACGUGAGCAGCUCUGUGGUGGCUUUAGACAUCAACAUCUCUCAGGUCGUCACCAGGUCACUGAGUGCGAUGAUAUUCUCCACUGGCAGAGGUGGGAUACCCAAACCUACCCGACUGAUACGUGUUGAGGUGUUGUACCCACCGGAGGUCACAAGUCUUACCGUUGGUGGAGAAGACUUUACAAGUCCUUACUUCAUUAAUGAUGGCCAGAAAGUCUACAUUUCGUGCUCCUUCGAUAAAGGGAACCCUCCCGCUACUUUCAAACUUCUUGACAAAUAUGGACAAGUGUUAAAAUCUCGUCGUGAUGAAAGAUACCUUAAUUAUUCACUCACUGCCCAGUGUGAAGACGACUGGCCGAUAGUCAGGUGUGAAGGAAGCGGCUCGAAACAGAACAGAUCCGUCACGUUCUUCGUCAGGUGUCCUCCUCGGUUUGUCGAAAAACCCAUAAAAAUCGUCAAUCUACAAACAUUUCAAGUCCUAACAUUUCGUGUCAAAGCUCACACAACAACACUCACUGCCUGCCUCUUGACACCAGAGGCUUCAGACAACAAUGUCACGAGGGGAGUAAGCUGCAUCCUAAGUGGUCAGCCACCUGAUCUUCUUCUGACCGUCCAUCUUCACAAGGAAAGCAACAUUAGUCAAGGAAAUUGGUCGCUGAUUCUUCGAAAUGAAAUUGGUUCUGCUACAACGACACUGAUGAUCACUUAUGAUCUAGGUAAGCACACUUGCUAUUUACAAUUCAGUUUAGAUCAAUGCUUACUUUUAGUAAAAAACUAAUACGAAUGUUUCCUACACCAUGUGCGUAAAAGAAUACAACUUUAUUUAUUCACAUAGGCAACUCAAAAUAAUGCUCGUACUAGAUGAUCAAAAAUAGUAAGUGUGAGAGCUCACAUGCCAGCACAUAAUCAGAAAUACAGAGGAGGCGGGAGGCAUUCCUGAAAAUUUGCUGAUGACCAAAGACGGGCAAAUCCCUCUGCCUGGUUCUAGUGAUCUUGAAAGAUAUUAAGAAGGGAGACAAGACUGUUCCUGUUCCCGAGGGAGAGGCCGUGGAACCAAGAGAUGAAAGAGAAAGGGAUGAGACUUUCAAUGAAGUGCUCACAGAACUGAGUGAGGAUGACACAGCUGACACAGCUGACACAGCUGACAGCUGAUAAAGAUCUGAAUGAACCGAAUGAGGAUGACAGAGCUGACAGAGAAAGACCAUACGAAGUACAGACGUUGUUGGUUCUUACUGAGGAUCAUGUCAGUGUUGAAGUCCCAUUGAAGAUUGUUAUCAAAGAUAGUAUCUAGAUAUUCGUAAGAGUCGCCUACCUCAAUAGCAUCAUCAUGUUUAGUACUGUCAAAGAGGAUUUCGCUAUUUCCCUUAGCCUUUAAGGUAUUUAAGACAAGGACGCGUUUAGCACACAUUGUACAAAGUCCACAAGAGCUCCACUGUGAACAUGUUCACUAUGAUACAAAAGAGACAGCAAGCCAGAGUCAUCAGCAAAUUUUAACAGAAGGCUCCUAUCCGUAGUGCUUCUACCAAAGCUAGUAUAUAAUAUGAACAUUAGUGGAGACAAGCAGCAUCCUUUGCUCCUCGUGCAACGGAAAACGAAAUCACGAAGUUGUAUAACAAAAUAUUAUACAAUAUUACACACUGCCACCCUACACGCAUGUACUUUCUCUCAGUCUCGCACCGCAACAUUUGUGUAGUC